ensembl:lncRNA
GUCUGGGCUGAAGCCAAUGGAGAGUGUGGGAUGUGAUCAUCAGGGAACGGGAGUGAGUGGAGAAAAGGGGGGGGGCGGCAGGUGCCCUGCGGAUGCGGAUUCCAUCCAUCCGUUCUCUCCAGCCCCCCGUCCUGCUCGCUUUCCCACGCCACAUCCACCACAGGCUGCCUUCCUUCUUUUCUCUUCUUACCUUUUUUAAAUCGAGAUAUAAUGGGCAUAUAACAUUAUAUUAGCUAGGGUGUACAACACAAUGAUUUGGUAUUUGUAUAUAUUGUGAAAUGAUAACUACAAUAAGUCUAGUUAACAUCUAUCACCGUAGUUACAAUUUAUUUUUCUUUUGAUGAAAAAGUUUAACAUUUACAUUCUUAGCAACUUUCAAACAUGCAAUACAGUAUUAUUAACUAUAGUCACCAUGCUGUACAUGACAUCUCCAUCACUUAGUUAUUUUAUAACUGGAAGUUUGUACCUUUUGACCCCCUUCAUCCAUUUUGCUCACCUAUCCCCUCUUUUAUUAUAUUUACACGUGGUUGGGCUCAGAGCCAAAUCUUAGCAUCUCAGGCACUUGCCCAGGGACAAAAGGAGAUGCCUGUAACUACACGCCUCCAACAUUAGAGGGAAGAGUUGUUCGGGUAGAAGAGUCUGGUCUUGGCUACCCCACUCUGGGUCCCAGAAGAAAGCUGCUUCCUUUAAUCUGGAGGCAAAGUAUACACUAAAGUUCUUUCUGCAUUUCUUCUUAGCACAUAUAACAUAAAUUCACAAUUUAAAAAGUAUUUUUACCACUAAGGAAAUAAUUACAGAACUAUGCAUUUAUUAACAAUAGCCCAAUUUCCAAAAUUAAAGAUUCUAAUUCAAAUGACUCUAAAAAAACAGUGACAAGAUUCCAAGACCUCGGAUUCCCUUAUAUCAGGAAUAGAACAUUCUAGAAGGAAGGGCUUGCACCAGUCAUUUGGUUUCUUCUAUUCCAGUCCUGCAUUUCCACAGGGGGUAAUUUUAUCUCCCUCCAAUGCAAUGCGUCUAAAGGGACAUUUUGCACCGCCCCCUCUCCCCCACGCCAGGACCAAUGCCAAAGCCUUAUUAAAACGAAAAAUUUUCUUCACGGUAUAAUUUUAAGUAAAAAAGCAUUAUGUUAAAUAUGAUCCCAGUUUUGCAAACACGUGUUACAUAUGCACUAAAGAGCCUGGAAGACAACAAUGAACAUCUUUGAGAGAGUGCAUUAUGGAUGUUUUGUUUCCACUUAUCUGUAUUUUCUUAUUGUCUUCUAUGAUAAAUACACUUUGCUUCAGUAAGAAAAAGUCAAUGAAGAUUUUUAAUUAUUUGAAAACUCUCACUGCUCAGAUUCCAGGCAGGCACGCGAUACGUAUUAAUUAGAUGUGUGAGGGAGUGAGAAUAAAUGAAGAUGAAUGAAUACCAAAGGGAUGGUCUCGUGCAGCGUGUCCCCGCGCUUCUUCUGAUGGAUGGCUGCCUUCUUCUGUGCUUGCAGAGCAAGACCUGAGUACAGCUCUAGGCUUCCUUCUGUUGCCACCUCCCUGAACCCACAAACAGAUCACUCAGAGAAGAACAGUAUCUCAGAGGGGAGCGGGUGUGGGGGCGGGGGAGUUGUUUGGCCUUUGUGAAUAAAGCGUCAGACUUGGAAGGCCCCGCCCCUAAUUAAUUGCCGGAGAAAGGCGAGUCUCCCGGUGUAAACAACCUGCAGCAGCUGGCGAGACAAGUCCCCGAAGCCCAGACCCAUACUAGCCAAUUAGCAGGGGCUCAUCUGAGAAGACAUUUCACCCGGGGACCUAACUGCUGAAUGUGUGCCAGACCAGCAGGGACAAACAAGCUGUGCCACCCUCCUCAGAAUUCAGAGGCUGCCACCAGUGCAAGACAAGUGAUGUGGAAUGUGUUUCCAAGAGACCAACGAACCAGCUCUGGAGUGCGGCAUUGUAGCAACAGAGAUGUCUGCCAAAUGACAGAGCACAUAAAAGGGAGAGCCCAUAAUUAAUCUGCACGGAGCGUCCGAUUCUUGGCAAGCUUAAUGAGCUGCUGUUGGCCCUGCACAUCGACACGGCACUCUCUAAUUCCUCCACACAUCAAGCAAAUGGAUAUGAACCCAAGGCAAUCAGAGGAUUGACAGGAAAGACAACAUCUAAUUUUUGCAGAUGCUCGCCAGCUCCCCUGGAGUAUACGUAAAGAAGGCUGCAUUUUGUGGCAGAAAAGCUGUCCUCUGCCAUGCACGCCCAGCAGUCCAGCCAUGAUGCCGGCAGGCAGCAGAAGGAGAACAAGGGGCCCUCCAGAGAACGCGUGUUUUUUAAUAAGAAUCUGUCUCCCUUGGAUGUGCAUAUGUAAAUAUGCAAUACAAUCACAGACAAGGACGCAGGAGGCUUCCUCCUCCCUGUUCCAGCAUUCGAGGCCAAUCCCCAGCUCCACUUAGGGCCAAGUGGGCAAUCAUGGGUUCAGCAGUCUACACUGGACUUCCGGGGCACACCUGCAGGAAGACUUGGCUGGAGAGAGACCCCAAAGGCUACACUGUUCCCCGCUGCGUAUCUAGAAGGCACAGGGCAGCAUUGGGUUGAUACUGGACAUUGGACAAAAGAUAGGAAGGUUCAAGGGAGAAGCUCAAAAGAGAAUGCUGUCUGUUUGAAAUGCUCACCGACCCACGUCAGCCUAUCCAGCUGCUACUCAUCCUUCAAAGCUCAGUUCACAAUGUCCUCCUUAUUGCAGAUUUCCCUGCCCCAUGCACCCAGCCUCUCUCAUAGAUUCCUGGCUCCUUUCUGUGUUCCUAGAACAGAAACAGUCAUGGUCUCCCCAGCCCGGGAUACAAAAUAAUGACCAAAAAUACCUGA